rnacentral:rRNA from 1 species
UACGUAGGGUGCAAGCGUUGUCCGGAAUUAUUGGGCGUAAAGAGCUCGUAGGCGGUGUGUCGCGUCUGCUGUGAAAACUCAGGGCUCAACUCUGAGCUUGCAGUGGGUACGGGCACACUUGAGUGCGGUAGGGGGAGACUGGAAUUCCUGGUGUAGCGGUGAAAUGCGCAGAUAUCAGGAGGAACACCGGUGGCGAAGGCGGUUCUCUGGGCCUUACCUGACACUGAGGAGCGAAAGCGUGGGGAGCGAACAGG